UGGAGCACACUCAUCCCAUCGUCUUGGCUGCUUCCUGCAGUGGCCGGGAGUCCUCUUUCUUGAGGGCCUUCUGUGGUGCUGUCCUGGCUGCCUCUGUGUCCGUUGGGGAGGAGCCGGAAGUCACACGGUGCCAGGUGUGUUGACCAGGGAGGAUGAGGACGCAGUGUCCUGUAAAUUUUACAGCCUUCUCGCUGUAGGAUGACAGGUGGCAGCAGCAGUCACCUCGUGGCGGCACAGUGAGCCCAGACGGGGUGGCGUGGUCUGCGCAGAAACCAAGGCGGCCUGGCUGCUUCCUUGACUGGCAUCUCCAUCUGUGACAUGAGGGGAGAGGACUUAUCCAACGCUGCCCCACCUCCCUGGCCCCCUAAAAGCCUGACAAGGUCAUGUUUUCACUCUGUUACCGGGGAGGGGUGUUUCUGUUCCCCAUGCUGGUGGCGGAGGCCGAGUGGUACAUACUCCUGGUGCCUUUCCCAGGUUCCAGGCUCCUGGGGUUUGGCUGUGUCAACCAGGCUAGUUGGUCUGGAACAGGGUCUUACAGCCAGGGACCUGGCCGAAGCAAGGAGAAGCAGUGAGCCGUGAUCCUGCAGGCAAGAGGGUGCUGGAGACCAUGCCAGGCUCUCAGGUCAGUCUCAGGGAGCACGGAGCUCGAUCCUUCCCCCAUCACCACCACCAAGCCAGCUUGGACCAGAUACAGAAAGCUGACACUGCCCACUUCUCUGUGGACGCCACUCGCCACCAGCUCCCCAUCAUGGCACCUGCCGGCUCAGUGGACAUGAUUCUGCCUGGUGCCUCCAGGGCUCUCCCCACCCACCCAAAGAGUCCAACUCUGCACACAUAAAGACCAAGAGAAUGAAGAAAUUCCCUGGAGAGUGCUGAGUGCUCCGUGCCAUGCUCUGUGACCUUCCCAAUGGCUCCAGACACUGCCCUGCGUGUCCCGAGCCCUGGGACUGGCCAGCUUGACGUCUUUCCCCUCUGCUGACAUUUCCCACCAGCCCCCCAGUACUAAGGCUGUUGACCUGCAAGCCCUCCCUGCACACAGAGAGGAGGAAGGUCUCCUCAGUCCAUGCCACUGCUCCACAGCUCGGCUGGUUACCCCACAGUAGGAUGAAAGCCACACUUGGCUGGGGAGCUAGUUCCUGAACCUGACCUUUAACUCAGCAGUCUCUGAACAAAACCCCAUUGUUGUCUGAAAAGUCACCUGGAAGCCACAGAGCCUCCGAGUUCAUGCCCAGCUGCAGAGGAGAAAGACAUGGGGACUGCAUCCGGCCAUCCAGACCCGAGGUGCAUGGACUCCGUCGACAGCCCGAGCAAGGGGAGGGGACAGGGACGCCACGGUGGGGAGGACGCAUCCUGGGCCCGGGUGAUGGGAGCAGAGUCCUCCUGAGAGGGGCAGAGCUUGGGGAUGACACAUCCUCUCCAUGGGUGAGACUCCCAGCACCUCUGUUUCCCCGCACGCUGGGGCUGACGGGUCCCCGGUGUGUGGCUGAUGUGGGAGUGACAGAGCCCGGCCCUGAGGUACAGGAUGGUUAAUCAGGGCCCUGGCUCCCAUCCUGAGCUGCCCUCUGCCCGGCUGCUUCUCACUGUCUUACCCUCCGGGUCACCCCACAGACCUGCGAGUGGCCGCUCCCAGCAGUGUCACCCACCCUAGCACAUGCAUCCCGGUGGCCCAGUCUGCCCCUUUACGCCUCUUCAUCUCCGAGAGGCUGCCUUUUCCUUGCCAUCUGUAGCCCAGUUAGACACAUGGAUCCCAGAGGCACAGACAGGUGCCCACGUAAUGUGGCAGCAAGUAGGACACAAUUUGCCUUGGGCUUCAGGGGGCCAAAGGGCUGGUGCCAGGGUCGCAGAGCUCCAGCCACCCUAGUCUGAGACCAUGGAUGUCCGUGGCUGCAGUCUCUGGGCCCACGGCAAAGCACCACCCCAACCAAGAUGAAGAGGGCAGGAUGGACAGCAGCCCCCCGGGGACCCCACAGGGCUGACAUCAUUAGCAGAAACAGAAUAGUAAAAGCCUAUAAAAGCCCCUGAUUUAGGAACAGUAUAAACCAAGUAAAUUGA